AGAACGAACGCUGGCGGCGUGCCUAACACAUGCAAGUCGAACGAGAAAGGGGCUUCGGCUCCGAGUAAAGUGGCGCACGGGUGAGUAACACGUAGGUAACCUGCCUCUAAGAUUGGGAUAACUUGUCGAAAGACGAGCUGAUACCAAAUAAGACCACGGUCUCCUCGGGGACAGAGGGUCAAAGGUAGCCUCUAUUUAUAAGCUAUCGCUGAGAGAUGGGCCUGCGUACAUUAGCUUGUUGUGAGUAACGGCUCACCAAGGCAAAGAUGGUUAGCUGGUCUGAGAGGAUGAUCAGCCACACUGGAACUGAGACACGGUCCAGACUCCUACGGGAGGCAGCAGGUGGGAAUAUUGCGCAAGUGGACGAAAGCCUAGACGCAGACAACGCCGCGUGAGUGA
rnacentral:rRNA from 1 species